GGAUCAGUGGCGAACGGGUGAGUAACACGUGAGCAACCUGCCCCUGACUUUGGGAUAAGCGCUGGAAACGGCGUCUAAUACUGGAUACGAGUAGCGACCGCAUGGUCAGUUACUGGAAAGAAUUUCGGUUGGGGAUGGGCUCGCGGCCUAUCAGCUUGUUGGUGAGGUAAUGGCUCACCAAGGCGUCGACGGGUAGCCGGCCUGAGAGGGUGACCGGCCACACUGGGACUGAGACACGGCCCAGACUCCUACGGGAGGCAGCAGUGGGGAAUAUUGCACAAUGGGCGCAAGCCUGAUGCAGCAACGCCGCGUGAGGGAUGACGGCCUUCGGGUUGUAAACCUCUUUUAGCAGGGAAGAAGCGAAAGUGACGGUACCUGCAGAAAAAGCGCCGGCUAACUACGUGCCAGCAGCCGCGGUAAUACGUAGGGCGCAAGCGUUAUCCGGAAUUAUUGGGCGUAAAGAGCUCGUAGGCGGUUUGUCGCGUCUGCUGUGAAAUCCCGAGGCUCAACCUCGGGCCUGCAGUGGGUACGGGCAGACUAGAGUGCGGUAGGGGAGAUUGGAAUUCCUGGUGUAGCGGUGGAAUGCGCAGAUAUCAGGAGGAACACCGAUGGCGAAGGCAGAUCUCUGGGCCGUAACUGACGCUGAGGAGCGAAAGGGUGGGGAGCAAACAGGCUUAGAUACCCUGGUAGUCCACCCCGUAAACGUUGGGAACUAGUUGUGGGGUCCAUUCCACGGAUUCCGUGACGCAGCUAACGCAUUAAGUUCCCCGCCUGGGGAGUACGGCCGCAAGGCUAAAACUCAAAGGAAUUGACGGGGACCCGCACAAGCGGCGGGAGCAUGCGGAAUUAAUUUCGAUGCAACG
rnacentral:rRNA from 1 species